GACGAACGCUGGCGGCGUGCUUAACACAUGCAAGUCGAACGGAAAGGCCCUGCUUUUGUGGGGUGCUCGAGUGGCGAACGGGUGAGUAACACGUGAGUAACCUGCCCUUUACUUCGGGAUAACUUCAGGAAACUGGGGCUAAUACCGGAUAGGAGCUCCUGCUGCAUGGUGGGGGUUGGAAAGUUUCGGCGGUUGGGGAUGGACUCGCGGCUUAUCAGCUUGUUGGUCGGGUAGUGGCUUGGCAAGGCUUUGACGGGUAGCCGGCCUGGGAGGGUGGCCGGCCACAUUGGGCCUGAGAUACGGCCCAGCCUCCGACGGGAGGCAGCAGUGGGGAAUAUUGCACUAUGGGCGGAAGCCUGAUGCAGCAACGCCGCGUGCGGGAUGACGGCCUUCGGGUUGUCACCCGCUUUCGCCUGUGUCGAAGCGUGAGUGACGGUAAUGGGUAAAGAAGCACCGGCUAACUACGUG
rnacentral:rRNA from 1 species